GCCCCCAUAGUUCAAGGGAUAGAACGGAAGUUUCCUAAACUUUAAAUACAGGUUCGAGUCCUGUUGGGGGUA
rnacentral:tRNA from 1 species